UUCAGUGUUUCAAAAUUCAAAGUGUACAAAUUUAAAAUGUUACAUUCCAAGUGCUCAAAUAUUAAAGUUUUUAAAUUAGAAGUUUCAAAUUUAAUGUCUUCAAGUCAUUUGUUCGAUUCCAGAUGCCAAGAAUGAGUUUGGAGCGCAGAAUAAAGAGUAAAGGGAAAUGAAGAUGGAGAUGAUCCAACUGGUGCGAAGAAAUGUCAGAGAGUAAUUGCAAGUUUAAUUGCACAAAAGAAAUUGCAAAGCUCUCUCUCAACUCAGACUAAAACUCUCUCCACGUAAAUUUUGGUUCAGCGGAACGUAGCACUUAACAUUUUACUAUAUGGAAUGAAAAGCUAAAGACACGGAUGAGAAAAGAAUUCGCGCUACCUGUUGAUCUUGCUGGUGUGUGUUGGUGUGUGUUUACACAUUGGGGAUGUACUGAUGUUGGUGAGAUACUACUGGGGAGGGGGUUGAAAGGUGUGCUGAUGAAUAAGUAGGGGCUAUGAGGAAUUUUGUGAGAAAAAGAGAGAAACCCGACUGCAGAGACUCAGGUGAGGAAUUUUGUUAUUUUAUCCUCCUACGAUAAAUACGCCUUAAGCUAAAAUGUCCUUUUUAAAUCCAGGUGCAUGUCCUGAAUGGAAUUUACAUGUAAAAAUUUUUAUUUUUAAAUAGAAAAUUUUUUUUUGUUUCGGAAAAAUCGAAAAUGUUUUUGCUUUAAAUAGAAACUUAA